rnacentral:rRNA from 1 species
AUUGAACGCUGGCGGCAUGCUUUACACAUGCAAGUCGGACGGCAGCACAGAGAAGCUUGCUUCUUGGGUGGCGAGUGGCGAACGGGUGAGUAACAUAUCGGAACGUACCGAGUAAUGGGGGAUAACUAAUCGAAAGAUUAGCUAAUACCGCAUAUUCUCUGAGGAGGAAAGCAGGGGACCUUCGGGCCUUGCGUUAUUCGAGCGGCCGAUAUUGAUUAACUAGUUGGUGGGGUAAAGGCCUCCAAGGCGACGAUCAGUAGCGGGUUGAAGGAUGAUCCGCCCCUGGGAUGAGACCGGCCCAGACUCCUACGGGAGGCAGCAGUGGGGAAUUUUGGCAAUGGGCGCAAGCCUGAUCCAGCCAUGCCGCGUGUUGAAAAGGCCUUCGGGUUGUAAAGGACUUUUGUCAGGGAAGAAAAGGUCUGUUGCUAAUACCGCAGCUGAUGACGGUACCUAAGAAUA